GAUGAAGAACGCAGCGAAAUGCGAUAAGUAAUGUGAAUUGCAGAAUUCAGUGAAUCAUCGAAUCUUUGAACGCACAUUGCGCCCCCUGGUAUUCCGGGGGGCAUGCCUGUCCGAGCGUCAUUACAACCCUCAAGCUCAGCUUGGUGUUGGGCCCCGCCGCCCCGGCGGGCCCUAAAGUCAGUGGCGGUGCCGUCCGGCUCCGAGCGUAGUAAUUCUUCUCGCUCUGGAGGUCCGGUCGUGUGCUCGCCAGCAACCCCCAAUUUUUUUCAGGUUGACCUCGGAUCAAGUAGGGAUACCCGCUGAACUUAAGCAUAUCAAUAAGCGGAGGA
rnacentral:misc_RNA from 1 species